rnacentral:rRNA from 1 species
AUUUAUUCAUAUUAAGAUUUUAAUUAUUAAUUAUUAUUUAAAAUAUUUUUAUUGUUUUAGUAUUAACUUAAAAUCAAUUAUUUUUAUUUUAACUGAAAAGGUUAAAAAUUAAUUUGUAAUAAAGAAAAAUUAAGUUUGUACCUUUUGUAUCAGGGUAAAUCAAUAUAUUUUAUAGAUAUAUAUAUCCCGAAAAUAAAUGAUUUAUAUUAUAUUGUUAGUUAUUGUUGCAUAAAUAUUAAUAAAUAUAAUUUGGAAAUGAAAUUUUAACGAAUUUUUUGAUAUCUGGUUUCUUAGGAAAUAAAUUUAAUUUAUGAAAAUUUAUUUAUAAUAUAUUGAUUGCAUUAAAUUUUCAAAUUAUAAGGGGGAUAAGCUCUUUAUAAUAUCUAUAAAUUUUAAUAUUGAAUGUGAAAUAGGCUUAAAAUCAGCCACUAAAUGAUUUAGUUAAAUAUCAACUUUCUAUUAUUAAUUAUUUUAUUAAUUUUAGUUAUGUACUGAGAAUUUAGUUUUAAUUAAUCAAUUUAAUUAUAAUGAUUUAAUUAGUAUAAUUAUCAAAUAAUAAUUAUGAAUUAGGCAAAUAUAAUUUCCGCCUGUUUAUCAAAAACAUGUCCUUCAGAAUAUAAAUUGAAGGUUUAAUCUGCCCAAUGAUUAUUGAAUGGCCGCGGUAAUCUGACCGUGCAAAGGUAGCAUAAUAAUUAGUCUUUUAAUUGGAGGCUUGUAUGAAUGAUUGGAUGAGAUAUUAUCUUUAUUAUUAUUAUUAUUAAAAUUUUAUUUUUAAGUCAAAAAUCUUAAAUUUUUGUGUGGGACGAGAAGACCCUAUAGAGUUUAAAAGAUCCGAUUAUUAAUUAACUAUAGUUUAAUUAUUUAAUUGAUUGUUGUUAUUUUUUAUAUUGGGGUGAUAUUGAAAUAUAUUAAACUUUCAAUUAAUAUUACAUAAAUUAAUGUUUGAUUGAUCCUAAUUUAAGAAUUAAAGAAUAAAUUACCUUAGGGAUAACAGCGUAAUUAAGUUAGAGAGUUCUUAUCAACAAUUUAGUUUGCGACCUCGAUGUUGGAUUAAGAAUAGAUUUUGGAGCAAAUGCUAGAAAAUCUAGGUCUGUUCGACCUUUAAAUUCUUACAUGAUCUGAGUUCAGACCGGCGUGAGCCAGGUUGGUUUCUAUCUACACUUAAUUUUUUAAUAUUAGUACGAAAGGACCAUAUUAAAUAAUUUAGAUUAU